CUCAAAGAAAUUGACGGGGCCGCACAAGCGGCGGAGCAUGCGGAUUAAUUCGAUGCAACGCGAAGAACCUUACCUGGGCUUGACAUGUUCCCGACGACUCCAGGAGAUGGGGUUUCCCUUCGGGGCGGGUUCACAGGUGGUGCAUGGUCGUCGUCAGCUCGUGUCGUGAGAUGUUGGGUUAAGUCCCGCAACGAGCGCAACCCUCGCCCCGUGUUGCCAGCAGUUCGGCUGGGGACUCACGGGGGACCGCCGGGUCAACUCGGAGGAAGGUGGGAUGACGUCAGAUCAUCAUGCCCCUUACGUCCAGGGCUUCACGCAUGCUACAAUGGCCGGUACAGCGGGAUGCGACAUGGCGACAUGGAGCGGAUCCCUGAAAACCGGUCUCAGUUCGGAUUGGAGUCUGCAACCCGACUCCAUGAAGGCGGAGUCGCUAGUAAUCGCGGAUCAGCAACGCCGCGGUGAAUGCGUUCCCGGGCCUUGUACACACCGCCCGUCAAGUCAUGAAAGUGGGCAGCACCCGAAGCCGGUGGCCUAACCCGUGAGGGGUGGAGCCGUCUAAGGUGAGGCUCGUGAUUGGGACUAAGUCGUAACAAGGUAGCCGUACCGGAAGGUGCGGCUGGAUCACCUCCUUU
rnacentral:ncRNA from 1 species